UACGAAGGGGGCAAGCGUUGUUCGGAAUUACUGGGCGUAAAGGGCUCGUAGGCGGCCAACUAAGUCAUACGUGAAAUCCCUCGGCUUAACCGGGGAACUGCGUCUGAUACUGGAUGGCUUGAGUUCGGGAGAGGGAUGCGGAAUUCCAGGUGUAGCGGUGAAAUGCGUAGAUAUCUGGAGGAACACCGGUGGCGAAGGCGGCAUCCUGGACCGAUACUGACGCUGAGGGGCGAAAGCCAGGGGAGCAAACGGG
rnacentral:rRNA from 1 species